rnacentral:lncRNA from 1 species
GUCUUCAAUGUGUGACAGGUUAGUACAGUGGUGAACCUAUAGGUCUUCAGUAUGUGACAGGUUAGUACAGUGGUGAACCUAUAGGUCUUCAGUGUGUGACAGGUUAGUACAGUGGUGAACCUAUAGGUCUUCAGUAUGUGACAGGUUAGUACAGUGGUGAACCUAUAGGUCUUCAGUGUGACAGGUUAGUACAGUGGUGAACCUAUAGGUCUUCAGUGUGACAGGUUAGUACAGUGGUGAACCUAUAGGUCUUCAGUGUGACAGGUUAGUGCAGUGGUGAACCUAUAGGUCUUCAGUGUGUGACAGGUUAGUGCAGUGGUGAACCUAUAGGUCUUCAGUGUGUGACAGGUUAGUACAGUGGUGAACCUAUAGGCCUUCAGUGUGACAGGUUAGUACAGUGGUGAACCUAUAGGUCUUCAGUGUGUGACAGGUUAGUACAGUGGUGAACCUAUAGGCCUUCAGUGUGUGACAGGUUAGUACAGUGGUGAACCUAUAGGUCUUCAGUGUGUGACAGGUUAGUACAGUGGUGAACCUAUAGGUCUUCAGUGUGUGACAGGUUAGUACAGUGGUGAACCUAUAGGUCUUCAGUGUGUGACAGGUUACUACAGUGGUGAACCUAUAGGUCUUCAGUGUGUGACAGGUUAGUACAGUGGUGAACCUAUAGGUCUUCAGUGUGUGACAGGUUAGUACAGUGGUGAACCUAUAGGUCUUCAGUGUGUGACAGGUUAGUACAGUGGUGAACCUAUAGGCCUUCAGUGUGUGACAGGUUAGUACAGUGGUGAACCUAUAGGUCUUCAGUGUGUGACAGGUUAGUACAGUGGUGAACCUAUAGGCCUUCAGUGUGUGACAGGUUAGUACAGUGGUGAACCUAUAGGUCUUCAGUGUGUGACAGGUUAGUACAGUG